GAGGAGGAGGAGGAGGAGGAGGAGGAGGAGGAGGAGGAGGAGGAGGAGGAGGAGGAGGAGGAGGAGGAGGAGGAGGAGGAGGAGGAGGAUUAAUGGAAUGAUUACAAUAAACAUCAAUUAUAUAUAAAUAAAUUAAUCAGUAGUAGUAGUAGUAGUAGUAGUAGUAGUAGUAGUAGUAGUAGUAG